rnacentral:lncRNA from 1 species
UCUGGAUCUUGGAAACAAACUGACCAGAAAAGGCUUGGGAUUUGGAAAGUGUAAAUCAGCCUAACGAGCAGCAGGCCAGACUGUGAGAGCACCUCCCGCACCCGUGAACUCUUCCUCCUUCACUUUGGCUCCAACAACAGAAGACUCCAUCUUUGCAGAGGGACAGUUGCCCCAUCUGAAGGCUGCACAACUUUUGAUGAUCAACAUCCUUCAUCAUUUUCAGGGAAUGACAGCAACACAAAGAAAACAAAGUACUAAAAGCCUCAAACAACACAUUCUUGUUGAUGUGGAACCUUCCUAGACCCCAGAACCACACUUGAUUUUCUUUGUUGUGAUUACUAACGCCACCACUUUCCAGAGCUAUUACAGGUCUAACAGCAGCCCUAAAAGGUGGACAUCACAGAAAUGACUGGAAGAAAACUUUCUGGGGCUACACCUUAGCCUUAAAUCAGAAAGCGUUGUGGAUAAAAUUGUGCUUACAAUUUAUGGGACUUCUCUUUGGGAAGAGACUGUAUUCAGCCACACAGGAACUAUAAUCCACCCAACUCUCACAG